AGAAAACAAAGAUGGUGUUCAGCAUUUUCCUGCUCAAAUGAGUGGACUGUUGAAAAUAGGAAUCGGGGGAUUACUUUUCACAAGUUUGACCGUGGGACCUUCAGGGUCAUCUGGUUGUCCGAUCUAAGGCAACGACCAAGCCUGGAGCUGCCCAGGGGCAAGUCCUCAAACGCCACUUUUCCUGUCUAUCCAUGGAGGCCAAGCUGCUCCAGGACUUUGUUUGUGGCAAUUUUCCUCAGCAUUGUCCUCACCGUGUCUGCCAAAGUCUGCCCACCAAGAGCAGUAAGAGCUUUCACCUAUACAAAUAAAUAAACAACAAUAUUGUACUUGAUUAGAACAUGUUUUUUGAUAACUGAGCAAGGUCAUUUUGCAGUGGGGAAUUAAAAAUAAUUACCAGCUGCUUUCUGAGCAGAAGAUCAGUGUCGAGCCGUUCACAGAAGGCCUUCAGCUGCUCAAGAGUCUCGAAAGGCUUCUCAAUGAGAUCUUCAACAUCCACAGCUUCUGGACCCACAGACUGUGCUGCCAGCCCUCUCAGCAUGCGCAUAAUUUCUCCCUGGUUCUCAAGUAUAUUUUGAACUUUCAUGUUCAACUGUAAAACUGCAAAGACAACAAAAGUCAAAGAGGGCAUUCCUGCUGCUUCUUGGAGCGGUCUGGUACUGACUCGUACUGGCUGGAGUGGUCUGGUACUGGCUUGAGCUGGAUGCAUUAUUCCUGUCUGGACUGAGCCUGGAAGUGCUGCUUCUCGCUGGGCUGUGAGGUCGGCCUGGAUGCCUUGGAGUGGUCUGGUAUUGGCUGGUACUGGCUGAAGUGGUCUGGUACUCGCUGGAGAUUGGAAUGUUAAAUGAUGGGAACUCUGGCAGUGGGGGGGCCUGGACGAGGAUCUGUGGUUUCUCUUUUCUGCACUUCUUUUUUGGCCGAAUUUCCUCUUCGUCUAAACCAACGAAGACAAUAAAAU